GACAGACGAGAGCUUGCUCCGGAUGUUAGCGGCGGACGGGUGAGUAACACGUGGGUAACCUCGCUGUAAGACUGGGAUAACUCCGGGAGACCGGAGCUAAUACCGGAUAGUUCCUUGAACCGCAUGGUUCAAGGAUGAAAGACGGUUUCGGCUGUCACUCACAGAUGGACCCGCGGCGCAUUAGCUAGUUGGUGGGGUAAUGGCUCACCAAGGACACGAUGCGUAGCCGACCUGAGAGGGUGAUCAGCCACACUGGGACUGAGACACGGUACAG
rnacentral:rRNA from 1 species